CUUGGUCUAUGACGACAGGGUUUUUAACAUUGUCCAUGAUAAUAUCCUCAAAGUGAACGUCUGAGACAGCAGUACCCUUUGCAGGGGAAGCAGGCCAGGUUUUGAUCCUUACACCAUUAUCGGUAUUUGUAAUUGUGCAGUUCUUGAUAAAGAUUCCGGACACAGGUUCUUCAUCCUCAGUCCUUCCAAGGCUUCCGAUGCUUAUGCCGUGGCCUGGUCCGCAUGUAACGUUGGUUACAUGGAGUUGCUUGGUGCCAUGACCUAUAGAGAUGCAAUCAUCCCCAGUUCCAAUGGUUGUAUCUGUGAUGUUGAUCUCAGUUGAACGUCCCAUAUGAAUUCCAUCUGUAUUGACACUUUCUUUAGGCGCUGAUACUGUAAAAUCUUGGAAUGCCAACUUGUUGCAACCCAAAAGAUUUACGUGGAAAUUUUUGCUGUCUUUUGUUGUUAUUCCUCGAACUAUGGAAUUGGUGAUAAAAUUGAACCUCAAAUUCUGCGAAUAGUGUAAAAACAGUUCAAACAUAUUAAGACGAGUAAUGUCUCUUGUCAAAGUUAUGUUGUCAAGAAAAUUUUUAUAUUGUCACACUGAAUCAAAAUAACAAAUUAUCCACAUGAUCCAAGAUUUAGAUUCACUACCUAAUAUAUUCUCUUUUCACACGUAUGGCUCCGGCUGUCAGGCACCAUAUAUAUAUAUAUAUAUAUAUAUAUAUAUUAGAAGAGUAUGAUCAGCCGUUUAGUUUCACAAUCUAGCAAUUGAUUUAAAUUAUAAAAGAACAAGAUUUAAAUUAUCUUACAACAGCUUUAAAUUUGCAAUCUUUGUUUUUGUGGCAAUCAUUUUGCUUCCAAGCAGUUGCUCCUUGGCCAUCGAAAGUUCCACCGCCAGAUAAGGUGAGCCCAUCAAUGCGCUCAAAAGCUACCCAAGUAUCUUCUUUUGGGAGUUCCUUGAUAUGUUCCGGAGCCUGCAGUGUGCCUUGGAGCUGAAACUCAAUAGGACCUUUGCAUGGUCCUUUGAAAGUUGCCCCUACAAACUUGUAUGUCCCACUUGGAACAACAAUUUUACUUGCCGAUGUCGAUGCACAUGCAUCUGUCCAAGCUUUGCUCAAAGCCUAAUUAAAAACAUUGUAUAAAAAUUAAAAAUUGAAAUGAUUCGCUUUAAUUACCAAACAAUUCUAGAAUGGAAAUGAUUUUCCGCUUAUUCAUACUUUUUCCCAUGCAUAUUUAUUUCUUACUUUAAAUUAAACAAAUCAAAAGAAAAAUAAGAAUGUUCAAAAUCUAAAAAGUGCGUACGGAAGUAAUUUCUCUUCUAGUUAGAAAUAUUAGUUUAGCAUUUCAAGAAGAAUUGCAUAAGCAUAUAUAAUGCCUACCUGGGUUAUAUCAGAGUUUGCUUUUCCACCAUAAUUUGCACCUGUUACAUCAUAGACACCAGAUUGGGCAUUAGAUGAGGAUACUAACAACAAGAACACAAACAUUGACAAGAUAUUUUUCAGCUUCAAAUCCAUCUUGAGUUUUCAAUUCAGAAUGAGUUUCUUUCGUUUGGAAGUUUGAUGAAAACUUUAUUUUGGUUUCAUCGCAAUUUUAUACUUAGACUGGAAAGCUUAACGUCCUCAAAUUAUUUAGCUAAUUACUAGCUAGUUUUAUGGAAGGUGCCUUACCCCCAAAAACCGUGCACGAAAAAAACUAGCAGCCGUUGAAUAGUAAAAAUAUCUCAAAAUUUCUUCAAAAGAAAGGCUUAAUUACGAGCUUGAAAUUUCCUCACUCAGAAUAUUUCUUCCAAGAAACAAGGAAGUAGCCCCGAAUUAAGAUGUUUAAUUGCAGUGUAGUUCAAGAAUUAUAUCCUAUCAUUAGUAAUUAAUUAAGCUGCUUAUAGAACAUCAAUUACCACUACUAUGUAUGGCCCUAGGUUAGUUCAGUAUCAAUUACCACUUCAACAUAUAGUUCUCCAUGCUUUCUCCCCAAGUCAGUACUCGAAUUGUUUCUUCUAAGCAAACCCUAGUUGCUGCAGCCACCAGCACCCUGAUCAACGCCAACUCCACCACCGCGACACACCUACAACUUGUUUUAACUUUACGGCGUGACUUGUGGGAAUCCUCACAAUAAUAGUUUUAAACCUUAUCAUAGCAUGGAAACAAUACAAAGACAAAUUGGUACAUCAUUUUACUUGCUAGAUGGCACAUCUCGGUGUCUCCCUUUAUAGUCUACCUCUUCACUGACCGCAAAUUGGUACAUCACUUUACUUGCUAGAAAGACAAAGACAAGAGCAUCUACUAUGACGUACUCAUGCAAGUCUCGUUUUCUUUCUAAAGGAGUUUCUCUCCAUGACUAACGUUGUCGCUAACGGUUGUACCAAGAUCCCAUUCGUCUGAAGAAUUAGAAGCUUGCGUGCCAGUGCUUCUGCCUCGUUGGUGUUAAUUUGUCAAGGAUUGAGUGGCGGCUGCUGUGGUUGAGGAUUUGAGGGAUGGAAUCGUGGGGUUCAAUGUGGCAGUGCAGGGUCGUUUUAGGGUGGAAAGAGGAUCGCAUUCCGUGGCUAGGCUUGCAUGCAUCAAAAUUUCAACGAAAUAAAUAUUUACCAAUACAUUAAAUUUCGACAUGCCUGAGCUUAUGGGGCAUGCACCGAGGGUCGCACAAAUCGUACACGUGACAUGUGACUCAUCAAAACCAGACAAGUCAUCAAGUGACAUGUGUUGACACUUGACGGAAAGUAAUUAAUGAAUUAUCUUUAUUAAUUCUUUGAUUAAUUUCAAUAUCAAAACAAAUUAAUUGAUUUAAAAUGCCAAAUCAUGAAAAAGCCCAAAAUUAAGUCUUGUGUUUCUUUCGUCAAUAAAUCAAGUCCACAAUCAAGACCAAAUCCAACAGUAGGCAAGACAUGGAAAGCCUAUAAAUACGUGGCUCUAAGACAAACCCUUGUGGCAUCCGUUCAUUCAAGAUUAAGUCAUCGCCACCAUUAAAUCAACAACAUCCACAUUUUUCAAACCAGGGAUUGAAAAAGUGGAUUCAAGUUUUGUAAAAAGAUUAUAACCCUAAAUUUAUUAAUACAAAUUAUUACUUUGUAAAAGUGUUCAUGUAUUAUUUGUCUAUAAAUCUUGAGUUUACAAGGCUAUUGAGGGUUGAUUGUGAUUUUGUCAGGGUUGAGAUGUCGAACAAUGGAACUGAUGGAGCCUUAUGUGGUGGAUCUUGUGUGGUGGAUCAAGUAAAUGUGAUGUGGAGGGUAAUUAAAAAUGAUCGUUCAUUUUUAUGUACUGCUUCAAACUAUGCCCGUGCUACUUUAUAUAUGUAUUACUCUUUUGACUUGUGAUGUGGCUCAAUUGAUUAAAAACAUCUACCCCAUACACCCGAGGUCAUAAGUUCUAUUUUCACUUCCCCCAAUGUUUCCUUGCCUAAAAAACUCUUGUAAAAGUCUAGGGUUCUAGUAAAUAAAUGUGACUACUUAAGUCCAUCAGUUACAAGGAAAUAACUAUCGUUAGAAGGUCUAAACAGACUAAACAGAGUGUCAUUGUAGACAUCGAAAUUUCGUAAAUAAAUGUUGACCGAUAAAUCAAAGUGUCAACGCUCAUGUAUUACAUAAAUUUUACACGUAGCGUGUGACUCAACGAAAAUUGAAAUGAGUUGGAAAAGUCAUCAAAUAGGACACGUGUCAACGCCUGGCAGAAACGACUUAUUUCAUCUGGAAUAUUAUAUUCAAAAUUAGGCCUUGGAAAAUUCUAUAAAUACAAGCCCAAUUUCAUUCAUUUGGGGAACCAAUUCAUAUUACACCUUGAAGCUCUGAAGCUCUGAAGCUCCGAAGCUCUCAAGCAUCCAGGUUCCCGAAGAAUCAAGAAAGCUCUCUUCGUUCUUCGUUCUUCGUCCAUCGCUCUUUCAAGAUCAAGCCCCGACGGCCCUUGAAGAAAGCACCAUCGUUCAUCAUCCGUUCUUCCAAGAUCAAGCCCCAACGGCCCCUUUGGAUCGACAACAUCAACAAAUCCGCUCAUCCGCUGUUCAUCAAGCCCAAGCCCCGACGGCCCUUGAAGAAAGCGUUCAUCGUUCAUCACUGUUAUUCGAGAUCAAGCCCAAAAGCCCUCGAAGAUCCGUUCAAGCCCAAAAGCUCUCGAAGAUCCGUUCAAGCCCAAAAGCUCUCGAAGAUCCGUUCAUCACUAUUCUUCGAGUUCAAGCCCAAAAGCCCUCGGAAAUCCGUUCAUCACUGUUCUUCAAGAUCAAGCCCAAAAAGCCCUUGAAGAUCCGUCAAUCACCAUUCUUCUUCAAGAUCAAGCUCAAAAGCCAUUGAAGAUCCGUUCAUCCUCGUUCAUCCAAGAUCAAGCCUCGACGGCCCUUGGAUCAAUCGCACAUCCCACAAAUCAACACCUUACGGAGAUCGAAUCAGAGGAUCAAAUUAGAGAGAGAUUGUAACCCAAAAUCAUCAAAUACAUAAUAUUUGUUUGUGCGCGUUUGUUCUUGUCUCUUUCGUUUCAGGAAUUUUCCGUGUUCACAAAUUGGCACGCCCAGUGGGACGAUCUCUGCCUCUCAUCUCUUUCUCCGUUCAAGAAAUUCAAGCACACUUCCAAAAUUAAUGGCAUCAAGGAAGGCUCAAACUGUUCCCGCAACCGGUGCAAAGAACAAAAGCGUCCUCGUCGCAACUGGUGUCACUUUGGGCAUCACGACUCGAAGCAUGGCAAGAGCUACUUCUGCCGCUCUUUCACCUCUGCAUCAAACUCUGCCAAGGGGAACAAAAGCACCCAAGGCACGAGCCUUUGAUCACCUUAGCCUCACUAAGGGCACCAAGGGGGGAAAGCCCAAGGAAAACACUCCGAAUCCAUGCUCUCCGAUGCCGAUUCAAGCGACAGUUCAGCCAUGCAAGUCAUGACCAUUGGAGCAACUUCAAUCGAUGAAGCAGCUGGCUCAAAUGAAUGAAGCAAUCGCAAGGCUAACCCGAACUGUGGAAGAAAAAGACUUGCAAAUUGCAGCACUAGUCAACCGACUGGAGGCGCAGGACGGCGAUAAACCCGACCCAGAAGAUGAUCCACUAAAGGGAGGAGCUGGCGGAGACGAAGAACCCCCGGUGAAGAAAAAUCGAUGGGAAGCCGGAGCCAGACCAAGCAGCGGCACUCAUGGGAUCUCUCUUUCUAUCCAGCAGCUGCAGGAGAUGAUCACCAACACCAUCAAGGCACAGUACGAAGGGAGCUCACAUACCUCCUUGUUCUACUCGAAGCCCUAUUCCAAGAAGGAUUGAUGCCCUAAAAAUGCCGAGGGGAUAUCAACCACCAAAGUUCAUGCAAUUUGAUGGAAAGGGAAACCCGAAACAGCACGUUGCCCACUUCGUUGAAACUUGCAACAACGCAGGAACCGAAGGGGAUUACCUCGCCAAGCAGUUUGUGCGCUCGCUGAAAGGAAACGCCUUUGAGUGGUACACAGACCUAGAGCCUGAGUCCAUCAACAGCUGGGAGCAGUUAGAGCGGGAAUUCCUCAACCGCUUCUAUAGUACCCGCCGCACUGUGAGCAUGCUAGAACUAACGAGCACAAAGCAGUGGAAGGACGAGCCAGUCAUUGACUACAUCAACAGAUGGCGCACUCUAAGCCUCGACUGUAAAGACAGGCUCUCGGAAACCUCUUCAAUCGAGAUGUGCAUCCAAGGCAUGCAAUGGGGUUUGCAAUACAUCCUUCAAGGCAUUAAACCACGGACCUUCGAGGAAUUGGCCACUCGCGCUCAUGACAUGGAGUUGAGCAUCGCUCAUCAUGGGAAGAAAGAACCGAUCGCCGACUACAAGAACGACAAAGUUCUUGGGACAAAGGUGGAAAAGGCUGCAUGGAAACCCACCAAGGAAGCGAUGACGGUCAACACAGCUCCCGUCAAAAUCUCCACACGAGGCAAGGCGAUUCAAACCGAAGCUUUUCGUGAUCAAGAGAUGCGUAGACGCACUUUGAAGGAGCUUGAGGAAAAGAUUUAUCCAUUCCCCGACUCUGAUGUAGUUGCCAUGCUGGAUGACCUGUUGGACAAAAAGGUGAUCAGUUUGCCUGAGUGCAGACGGCCGGAAGAGAUGAAUCGUACCGACAGUCCAAGGUACUGUAAAUUCCACCGCUUCAUCAGUCAUCCGACAGAAAAAUGUUUUGUGCUGAAAGAUCUCAUCAUGAAGUUGGCUCAGAAAGGAAUCAUCGAGCUAGAUCUGGACGAUGUGGUGAAGUCAAACUAUACCACCUUCACUUCUGGCUCUUCCGACUCAAAGUUUUCACCUCAACCGUUGGGGGCAUCCUCCAAGACAAGCAAAGUUGAAGGAUGGACUCAAGUCACUCCUAAGAAAUUGCACAAGAAGCAUACGUCUCCUCCACAAGUCCGCCAAUCGGAAAGGGGGCAAAGCAGCUCUUGUCAACCUUCGAAGCAACGUGAACGUGUUGAAGAUGAUGAAAUUUCGACAUAUAGAUCGUCCAUCCCCAUCACGAUGCGUGAUUUCUUGCCCGAAGACUUCUUCAAUCACUCGGUCAAGGCUCCUUGCUAUGAAGAUUGUGAGGAACGCCUCUCCAAAAUUGCUUGACAAAUUCACCAAAGCUCAUUGUCUGUAAGAGCCUAAACUGCAAGACACAAGGCUCCUCGCCCGCACGAGCCUAAACUGCAUGGCACUAUGCUCCUUGUUCGCACGAGCCUAAACUGCACGAACCAAAGCUCCUCGCCUGCACGAGCCUAAACUGCAUGGCACAAUGCUCCUGGUCUGCACGAGCAUAAAAGGCAACACCAACGCUCCUUGUCUGCACGAGUUGAAACUGCAAACGACACCAACGCUCCUUGCCUGCACGAGUUGAAACUGCAAACGGCACAAAAAGAAAAUACCAAGAAAAAAAAAAUAUGCAUGUAUUUGAACUACGUUACGACUUGAUCUCUUCUUUAGAGGGGUACGUAGGCAGCUUGAAUAUUCGAAAUUUCGAGUUCAAUCACAUCAAAAUCAAAAGAAUAAAUGUUUUAUUAAAGAAGGUCAAUUUCAUUACAAAUUUAUUUUUGUUAAGAAAAUUUGCAAUUUUCUUUGUACAAAAUUAAAUUACAGUUUCUUCGAAAAAAAAUUUUUGAAUACAUAUGUUAUUAUGUAUUUAGAAAAAAAAAAAAAAAAAGAAAAAAAAAAAGAGAAAAAAAAAAAGAGAUACAAUUUCUUCAAAAAAAAAAAAAAAAAAUACAUAUGUUAUUAUGUAUUUAGAAAAAAAAAAAAAACAAAAGAAAAGAAAAAAAAAAAUAUAUAUAUAUAUAUAAUAUAUGAGUGUCUCGGCCCAGCAGCAAAAGGGCUCAAGCCACAACGGGCCCAAACUCCAGCUUGUCUUCUUCCUCAUUUCUCCUUGGCCCACAGUGCAGCCCAGCAGAGCACACAACUCCAACCCCAUCUUCUAAUCACUCACUCAUCCCCACUGCCAGGACACCCAAAAGCAUUUCCCUUCAACUUCGUCGGCCUCCGCCGCCUCAACGACGUCGUCCUCUGGGAACUCCUCGUCGUCAAAUAACUACUUCAGUGCUGCUUCCGGGUCCACCCCAAGAUUUCCUAUGCCGUCUUCCACUCCCGUUGACCAUUGCCUCCGUCAAAUGCCGCACCAGGAGAUCGAUCUGCUGAAGAUCGUGAAGAGGUUUUUUGGAUCCGAAACCGGACUGUGGGCUCGGGUUGCAGCUACCGCUCAUUGAUCGCCUGCCCGAUGUGCUCAAGAACAGGCUCGAUCGCUCCAGGACGCCUUCGAUCUGGCAAUCCGGUCCCACGACUACGGCUCCCAUUACCAGGGCGUGUACCCGGUGAAAUGCAACCAGGACCGGUUCGUCGUGGAGGACAUUGUCAAGUUUGGAUCGCCGUUCCGGUUCAGACUGGAAGUCGGGUCGAAGCCGAAGCUCACUCCGUACGGUAACAGCCAUGUCUGUACAGACCGCCGCGUCUGCCGUAUCAUCGCCAGACCAUGCUGCCGAGAAAUGGUUUUCGGUGCCGGAGCUCCGACUCCGAGACCACCGAUUCACUGUGCCCCUUGACUACUCCGUCGAUCGUACCGCUUCGCCUAAGAUCUCAGUCUUCGCUCGCGAAGUUGUUUCAGUUAGUAAAGAAGAACAACAAUUGCCAUACCUAUUUAUAUCUACAAGGUGGACUUGGAUCUGAGGCCCCCGACCAACUAAAUCCAGUGGAUGGAUAUGUAAAGCAGGUGAAGAAUUUCGUGUUAUGUUGCUGGAUCAGCGAGGAACAUAGUUUAUUCGAGUACACCUUGUUUCUGAUGCUGCACCAUGGAUACGUAAAGCGUGUAAGAAGACGCUGGGGACGACAUGGGAUUUCUUUAGGAUGAGGGACGAGUAGAUGAAGCACCCCGUGCUUUCCAAUCAGCUCCACCACGCCACUCCUGGCCUCGGCAUCGCUCUCGUUACAUUCAGCGGUGAGCAGAUCUACGACCGCCUCAUAUCAAUGUUUUGAGGCACCAAAUAUCAACGUUUUCAGAAACCCGAGAUAGGGAGAGGGCAAGAGACACACAUGGCGAAGAUCCAACGGUCGCCGGAAGAAUUUCAUAGCUGUCGAGGCGGAGUUGGCGGCAGCCAAAAAGGCGUCUACAAAUAAGGAGAGUGGAAAAUCCUCUGUUCUUUUGGAUGUCAAGCCUUGGGACGAUGAGUCUGACAUGAAGAAGCUCGAUGAGGCUGUUCGGAGUGUCGAGAUGGAGGGUCUCUUCUGGGGCGCAUCGAAAUUGGUUUCCGUUGGUUACGGGAUCAAGAAGUUGCAGAUCAUGCUCACCAUUGUCGAUGACCUUGUUUCCGUCGAUGACCUCAUCGAAGACCAGCUUACCGUUGAACCCCCGCAUCGGCAACAUCAGCACGGGCAGUGCACUUCUGGACUCAAAGCUCAGCAACAGCGGCGGCGGCACCGGCAGCUUCGAGGUCGAGUCUCGGAAGCUCCCUUCCUCCAAGUACAAAAGCGUGGUCCCGUAGCCAAACGGACGCCAGGGCCCACAACGUUGCUGCACAACGCUUCCGUCGCCACAACGCCGGCAUCAACUUCGAGUCUUCAUCUACUGAACCCAGCUCCCGGUCUUAGCACUCCGCCUCGCCAAGUCCACCUUCAUCACUGCAGGAUCGUUCCCAAGCAGAAGUUGGUCCCCGCAAGGUUCGAGGUAAGGAUGUACUUGGGAAUGCCGUGGUGGCUGCUCUAAACACACUAUACAUCAAACAAAAAAAAAACUUGUGAAUGCAUGGGGCAACCCAAUCUCAAACACCAUCGAGCGGGACUCCUUCUCCGUCAUCUCCUGCUACUUCCAAAGCUGCACCGCUCCUCUUUGCCCAUCUUCCACCGCAGCUGCCAACGACUUCAACGACCGCCGUCAAACGACUAGCCGGUCGUGAAGCUCGAAGCACCAUCUUCUCCGUCCUCCUUGCUCCGCUGCCUGCAAAUUUCUUUACCCAUCAUCAACAUUUAUACAAAAAAGAUAUAUUAAAAAAAUAGGAUGGUGGAGCAAAGCAAAGUGGUGCAUCUGGCACCACGUGAAAAAAAAAGAGGAAUGGUGGAUCAAAGAUGGGGUACAGCCCCAUGGCAGAUCAAAAGUUUCUGGUGGUGCAUGGGCACCAUGUGCAGAAAGAAAGAAAGCAAAAAAAAUAAAUAAAAAAAUAAAUAUUGUAAAAAAAAAAAAAAUAAAUAAAUAAAUAAAUAAACAUAAAAAAAAUAAUAAUAAAAAAAAAAAUGAUGGAACUUGGUGCAUCCAGCACCAAAAGAAAAAGAAAAAAAAAAAACAAAUGCAUAGAGAGAAAUAGAAGGUCCAUUUUAUUUAUUUUUCUGGAAAUUAUACAUAAAAUUAAAAAAAAAAAAAUCAAAUCAAAUCAAAUUUACAAGAGGGGAUAUUCAAGGACGAUCAGGUGGCGCCUCACAACUCGGCAGAGCUCCAGGAAGAGAAGGCGUCAGAGGUUGGCUGUUUGAAGCCUCAGCAGUCGGUACAGCCCCAGAAGACGAAGGUAAAUGCUGCUGGAACAAACCCACAAACCUCCGAUGAUCAAGUAAGAUCUGACCAUCAGAUUCCUGCAUCUGGUCAAUUUUCCUCUUCAUGUUUGUGGCAUAGUUGUGUGCAAGCUUUGUGCAACUGUUUAUUCUCAUGCUUGAGCCCUCUGAUCUCCUGUUUGAGACUCAUCACUUCAGCCGCCAACGAUUCAACUUGACGGGUUCGAGCAAAUAGGCGUUGGGCCAUGUUGGACACAGAACCCGCACACUGCACACUUAGAGCCAGGGACUCCUUAACGGCCAACUCAUCAGACCGCCUGGAAAGUAGUCUGUUAUCUUUGGGAGUGACAAGGUUCCGGGCCACCACCGCAGCGGUCAUAUCAUUCUUCAUCACCGAAUCCCCAACAGUAAGAGGACCAGUAGGGGAUAUGAAGGAUGGGCGCCAUAUGUUAUCUGGAGAAGACGGGACUACCUCUUCACCAAGGUUCAAAUCAAAACGACGGUCGGAGGGACCAGACAUUUUCAAAGUGUUGAAGGAAGAAGAGAUCGGACAAAUCAAGAUCUUAGAAGUACAAGAGGGAAGUUUUCACAAGCGAAAAUUCAAGUGUGUUUUGAAACGAACUGCAUGCCUCUAUAAAAAAUCAGCACUCGACGGGAUUUCAGAGAUCGAAGAGGCGAGCUCAGAAUUCGAAGAGGCCAUUCAAAAAUCGAAGAGGCAAGCUCAGAAAUCGGAGAAGCAUCUUGCUUUUCCAGACGUGUCGGCACCCGUCACACGCAAACUCAGCGUUGCGGAAAUCACGGGUAAUUUGUCGAAGCGCCAAUCCCAGAUAUCGAAGAGGCGCCAGUCUUUUUCAGCCGAGUCAUCACCUGUCAUAUGCACACUCAACUUUGCGCAAAUCACGGGCAAUUUGUCGAAGAUUUUCGGUGAAAGAGAAAGCACGUGAAAUUUUACUGUUCAAUCACGCGUUAGUUGCCGACACGAGUGAAAGAAUAGUACCUCUACAAGUAUUAAAGAACUUCCUAUAACUGUCCAUCUUCACCCUCCAUAGCAAGGCAGACAUACAAAACCUUUCUUCAUCUCUGAGAAUGCCUUCCCAACGAAGCCUCUUGAGUUACCCAGUGUUCCUUAUUCCUUGGGGUACCUCUGCAAGCCAAUGACUCCAAAGCAAAAGUAUCUCAUAUCACCAGGGUAGAAAGCAAGAGUAUCUCAUAUCAUGCGUUCUCCCUGUCCUUUCCUUUAUCCUUGUUCUUACCUACAAAGACAAGGAUAAAGAAAACAAUAUGCCGGAACUUCCACUCAAACUCGGGUAAGGAACCGACUGCUUGGAACCCUUCCCUGAUUGCCUACCUAGCACUGCUCUCGAGUACUCGCCUUCCACUGCUGCUGUACUUUCAAAGAAGCUGCCACAUCUGCCUGAAGAACAGAUAAGGCAAGUGAAAAUGAUACCUUGCAGCAUGUGGAGACAAGGUGCAGAAGGAACAAGCAGAGAAGAAAGCGGUCUGCACGGUCAACUCAGCAGAAGGAGUCCGAACUGAGGAACUCAAGAAGCUGCCAUAUCUGCCUGAAGAAACAAGCAGAGAAGAAUGCAGCAUGCACAAUCAACUCAGCAGAAAGAGUCCGAGAUGAAGAACUCGAGAAGAUGUCGCAUCUGCCUGAGGACGAUGAACUUGUUUUGACCCUCAAAUUCUUGGGUCGACUUACUAGGCGUUGUGGGCUGCACGUGCCGAUUCACCACCCUUGAAUCGAAUCCUUAAAGAUCAAGUCACCAACUGGAAGAAGAGUUCAUCAAUCUUGAAGAUCAUACCGUUGACCAAACUGCUCAGGUGUGAAUUAGAAAGAUUGAACAAAGAAACAGGUUGUCACCUUUACCUCGUGCCUGCUUGCCAUGUGUUCCGAGUCAACCUUCAAGAAUCAAGCCUCAACGGCCCUUGAAGAAGUUUCCAGCCAAAUUCAAGAUCAAGCCUCGACGGCCCUUGAGGAAAUCACAAGUCCGAUUCAAGAUUAAGUGUCUACCACCCUUGAAUCAAAACCUAGUUCAAGAAUAAGCUGUGGAAAAUCAACAAUUGGAGGAAUCCAGAAAAUCCUUCCAACCCAGUUCAAGAUCAAAGCUGUGGAAAGUCAACAAGCGCAACAAAAUACGUGCCGAUUCAUCCAUUACCAAAGCCAAAGAUCAUCUACCACAUGAAGCUCCUUGUGGUCCAAAUUUCAACCUUCAAGAUCAAGCAUCGACGGCCCUUGAAGAAAUUUCAAACAACAAUUCAAGAUCAAGCCUCAACGGCCCUUGAAGAAAUCUCAAGCCCAAUUCAAGAUCAAGCCUCAAUGGCCCUUGAAGAAAUCUCCAGCCCAAUUCAAGAUCAAGCCUCGACGGCCCUUGGAUCGACAUCUACAGUAAGGGACUUCAAAACGCAUCUCCUACACGUGACAAGCACAUGUAUACGACGUGCCUUGAAGUGGGGGCAUUUGUAGACAUCGAAAUUUCGGUAAAUAAAUGUUGACCGAUAAAUCAAAGUGUCAACGCUCAUGUAUUACAUAAAUUUUACACGUAGCGUGUGACUCAACGAAAAUUGAAAUGAGUUGGAAAAGUCAUCAAAUAGGACACGUGUCAACGCCUGGCAGAAACGACUUAUUUCAUCUGGAAUAUUAUAUUCAAAAUUAGGCCUUGGAAAAUUCUAUAAAUACAAGCCCAAUUUCAUUCAUUUGGGGAACCAAUUCAUAUUACACCUUGAAGCUCUGAAGCUCUGAAGCUCCGAAGCUCUCAAGCAUCCAGGUUCCCGAAGAAUCAAGAAAGCUCUCUUCGUUCUUCGUUCUUCGUCCAUCGCUCUUUCAAGAUCAAGCCCCGACGGCCCUUGAAGAAAGCACCAUCGUUCAUCAUCCGUUCUUCCAAGAUCAAGCCCCAACGGCCCCUUUGGAUCGACAACAUCAACAAAUCCGCUCAUCCGCUGUUCAUCAAGCCCAAGCCCCGACGGCCCUUGAAGAAAGCGUUCAUCGUUCAUCACUGUUAUUCGAGAUCAAGCCCAAAAGCCCUCGAAGAUCCGUUCAAGCCCAAAAGCUCUCGAAGAUCCGUUCAAGCCCAAAAGCUCUCGAAGAUCCGUUCAUCACUAUUCUUCGAGUUCAAGCCCAAAAGCCCUCGGAAAUCCGUUCAUCACUGUUCUUCAAGAUCAAGCCCAAAAGCCCUUGAAGAUCCGUCAAUCACCAUUCUUCAAGAUCAAGCUCAAAAGCCAUUGAAGAUCCGUUCAUCCUCGUUCAUCCAAGAUCAAGCCUCGACGGCCCUUGGAUCAAUCGCACAUCCCACAAAUCAACACCUUACGGAGAUCGAAUCAGAGGAUCAAAUUAGAGAGAGAUUGUAACCCAAAAUCAUCAAAUACAUAAUAUUUGUUUGUGCGCGUUUGUUCUUGUCUCUUUCGUUUCAGGAAUUUUCCGUGUUCACAGUCAUAUUCCAACAACUCGGAUGUCCUUAUCAUUUUUAUUUUUGUUAAAAAAAAUGAAAAAGUUUGACAGUUAACCUGUAAAUGAAGUAUUUUAAAUUCAAAUCACAUAUGAAAAUUCACUACUAGCUAGGGAGACCUGGAGUAAUGAACACAAAAUAUCUUUUGUCAUGUUAUUACAAAGAGAGGUUUGAACAAAAAACUCAACCGUCAACCCACGCUCAUCUCAUGCUAUUUGAGAAAAGUCUUAUGGGUAACUUAUUGACAACGCACGACAAAAACAAACAAAAAAACUUAUUCACAACGAAUAAUUGGCUUGAUUUUAAGAAGAUGUAGCACAAGCAAGAGGCUUUGCCACGUUGUUAAUGGUGGGCUUAACAUGUUUACAUUUAGAGGUAAUAGAGCCUUUCUCUCCAGUGUAUGUGAGAUCAAUGUCACUCGGUUUCACAUUCUCACAUGGCAGCUUUCCACUACAUAAAAGCUUGAUACCAACUGGGCCUGAAGAUGGGACUUGGAUUGUCUGCCCUCCCAUUUCGGUGCCUUCUCCGUGCCCUCCUGUUUUGUGUGAUCACGGUUAAGCCACGUUAAUAUUUUAUAUUAUUUUUUUAUAAAAAUAAUAAAACAAAAAGAAAUAGUAAUAUAAAAUGUUGACGUGGCUUAACCGUGACCACAAAAACAGAAAGGCAUGAGGAGGGCACCACAAUUAGAGGGCAGACAAUCCAAAUCCCUGAAGAUGAGCCCUUUAUGUUCUUAAAGCUGACAUCACUGAUCUUAAUUUUGGAUGAAACCUGCACACAAUAAUAGUACCAUUAAAGUGUAAUUUUAAAGUGUAAUUUUAAUUACAAAAAUGUUUUAAUUAUAAAUAUGCCAAAAAAGUAAUUAAAAAUUCAAGUGUAAUUUUUUGGAAAACCACACAGGAGUUCUUCCUAAAGAAAUGUACUUCUUCAUAAAGUGCUUUUAAGUUUUUAUAUCAAACAUUGAUAGAAGUGUUAUUGGUCGACAUAAUUUUUUUUUAAACCUUUCAUAAACAAUCUCAAAUAGGCUGGUGAACUCAAGUAUCCAUUCAAAAUAGUGGAGAUUAGUGUCAAUAGAUCAAACGGUUAUCAAUUGUAUUCUAUUCUUCUAGCUAGAUUAAGUAUUUGACUAAGUAAUAAAGAAACAAUGAUGUUAAUUUGGUGUAAAAUGGUAUACCUCAGGUGUACACAGCUUAUGUGGGCAAUACUCUUGGUCUAUGACGACAGGGUUUUUAACAUUGUCCAUGAUAAUAUCCUCAAAGUGAACAUCUGAGACAACAGUACCCUUUGCAGGUAGGGAUGGGCAAAAUAUUCAUGGGUAUGGGUAACCGCGGUUACCUGCCCAUUUAAAGUUGAUGGUUAUGGUUAUGGAUAACCGUUUAAACAAAUAAACAGUUAUGGGUAUAACCGUUUAUCCAUGAAAUUUAAAUGGACGGUUAUGAGUAUUAUCCGCGGUUAUAACGGGUAUCCAUCGGUUAUGGUUAUUUGCAGGUGAAGCAGGCCAGGUUUUGAUCCUCACACCAUUAUCUGUAUUUGUAAUCGUGCAGUUCUUGAUAAAGAUUCCGGACACAGGUUCUUCAUCCUCAGUCCUUCCGAGGCUUCCGAUGCUUAUGCCGUG
rnacentral:lncRNA from 1 species